GACGAACGCUGGCGGCGUGCCUAAUACAUGCAAGUCGAACGCUGAAGGAGGAGCUUGCUCUUCUGGAUGAGUUGCGAACGGGUGAGUAACGCGUAGGUAACCUGCCUGGUAGCGGGGGAUAACUAUUGGAAACGAUAGCUAAUACCGCAUAACAGUAGAUGUUGCAUGACAUUUGCUUAAAAGGUGCAAUUGCACCACUACCAGAUGGACCUGCGUUGUAUUAGCUAGUUGGUGGGGUAACGGCUCACCAAGGCGACGAUACAUAGCCGACCUGAGAGGGGGAUCGGCCACACUGGGACUGAGACACGGCCCAGACUCCUACGGGAGGCAGCAGUAGGGAAUCUUCGGCAAUGGACGGAAGUCUGACCGAGCAACGCCGCGUGAGUGAAGAAGGGUGUCGGAUCGUAAAGCUCGGUUGUAAGAGAAGAACGAGUGUGAGAGUGGAAAGUUCACACUGUGACGGUAGCUUACCAGAAAGGGACGGCUAACUACGUG
rnacentral:rRNA from 1 species